rnacentral:lncRNA from 1 species
AUUUUUUAUGCAAUGACUAAAUAUAUACAAUUUUGAAUACAUUAAAAACACUUCGUUCCAAUGCAUAAAUACUUAAUUAAAUGAAUGGAAAUAAAUUAUAUUCAAAUUCAAUUUGCAUUUACACAUUCCAACUACUAACAUUUACUCCUCCCACAUUUGAACUACCAACAUUUACUCACCUCACAUUUCAACUACCAACAUUUACUCACCAACAUCUAUCCUUCGUCCAUUUACAUAAACAUUAGAACUACUACUCACCUUUAACCAUUUUCUUUUUGGCAAGCAUUUUGCAAGCUUCCUACCUAAUCAAGCUUCCUGCGUAAUCGACUAUAGCAAAAAGGUAACCUUCAUGUGAUAAAAAUAAAUUUAAAAUCUAUUUAUGAAUAAUAUUAUGUUAAAAAGUUAUACAAAUGAUCUUCAAAUUUUUUGCAAUUCAAGCUUAAAUCUGUACUGUCGAGCUCUCCUAUGAUAGUUUAAGGUAGCACACUAAAGUCAUGUUUUACAGUACGACAUGUCCAUAUUAAUUUUUUUUUUUUUACCUUAAGAAGAUGCCAAAGUGUAGCACUCGGCUCUGCGAGGAGUGCAUUCACUCCGCGAUAAAAUUGAUCUUCGCCUUUAAAAAAUACUCUCCAACUAUAUUCUAAGAUACACUGAUGAUCUGAGUAAAUGAGAUUUAAACAAAAUUUAACAUUCCUUCUAAAAAAAUUAUUUUAAUCCCUUUUGGAUAUAAAAUUUAGGUUUUCCAAUUUAUCACUUCAAAAAAAUAAAAAUUCAACAGAAUUAACAUGAUGUAUUUUCUGAGAUCAACUAACACACCUAAUGUGGAAAAUUUCAUUUGUCUAUUAACACUAGAAAAUCUUCUUGUUUAACUAACUAAUUUUUUACUUAACAUAAUCCUCAAUUAUAUUAUACCAUUAUUUUUGUCUGCAUAAUUAACGCAAUUAUUAGAAAGCUUUUGACAAGCAUAUAUAUAUUCAUUUUAAUUUAUUAAGAUGAUACAUAUUAAUUAAUGACCAUUUUGUCUAAAAAUGAAAAUAAUGAACUCAAUC